AGAGCCAGAGGAAUCCCUUGUGUUUCAUAACUUUACUAGAAUAUAUCUGCUUAUUUUAUAUUUCUUCCUUCAUUGGUUUGCUUAACGUGAUCCAGAAAUUCUCAGGAAAUGCCUUUAAUUUAAGCAGGAGAGAUUUGGAUUUCAGUUUGAAUCUUCUGCUGUCUCAUUUUGAGACUGGAAAAAACUGAUUUCAGGCUGUUUGAGUGUUUUGAAGGGUCUGAAAUGCACCAUGCCCAUGUCCAUCCAAAAGUCAAAUUAAAGGAUCGGUGCCCCCAUCCAGCACUGAUUAUUGGUGUUCAAAGCACAGGGUGGGGGUUUUAGAGGUUUUACUGUUUCAUCCAAGGAUUUAGGGCCUGGAAAAAACUGAUUUUAGGCUGUUUGAGUGUUUUGAAGGGUCUGGAAAUGCACCAUGGCCAUGUCCCUGUCCCUUCUAUGUCACCAAAGGUAAAAUCAAAGGAUCAAUGCCCCCAUCCAGCACUGAUUAUUGGUGCCCAAAACACAGGGUGGGGAUUUUAGGGGUUUUAUUGUCCCAUCCAAGAGUUUAGAGUCUGGAAUAACUGAUUUCAGGUUGUUUGAGUGUUUUGAAGGGUCUGGAAAUGCACCAUGCCCAUGUCCCUGUCCCUUCUAUGUCACCAAAGGUAAAAUCAAAGGAUUAACCCCUCCCAUCCAGUGCUGGCCAUUGGUGCCCAAGCACAGGGUGUCUCAUCCAAGGUUUAGGGCCUGGAAAAAACUGAUUUCAGGUUGUUUGAGUGUUUUGAAGGGUCUGGAAAUGCACCAUGCCCAUGUCCCUUCUGUGUCACCAAUCAAAUCCCCCCAUCCAGCAGUGACCAUUGGUGCCCAAAGCUCAGGGUGGGGUUGCACUGAGGGCUUUCAGUGCCAUGAAGGGCUCCAGGUGCCAAAGCAGAGCUCCCUGUGGAAGGUGAGUGUGCAGGGAUGGCCAAGGAACAUGGUGGGGAACAGCAGAGAUGGAUGGUGGAUGGAUGGAUGGAUGGAUGGAUGGAUGGAUGGAUGGAUGGAUGGUGGAUGGAUGGAUGGAUGGAUGGAUGGAUGGAUGGAUGGAUGAUGGAUGGAUGGAUGGAUGGAUGGNUCCAGCACUGAUUAUUGGUGUUCAAAGCACAGGGUGGGGGUUUUAGGGGUUUUAUUGUCCCAUCCAAGGAUUUAGGGCCUGGAAAAAACUGAUUUUAGGCUGUUUGAG
rnacentral:lncRNA from 1 species